rnacentral:rRNA from 1 species
ACGGGUGAGUAACGCGUGGGAAUCUACCGUGCCCUGCGGAAUAGCUCCGGGAAACUGGAAUUAAUACCGCAUACGCCCUACGGGGGAAAGAUUUAUCGGGGUAUGAUGAGCCCGCGUUGGAUUAGCUAGUUGGUGGGGUAAAGGCCUACCAAGGCGACGAUCCAUAGCUGGUCUGAGAGGAUGAUCAGCCACAUUGGGACUGAGACACGGCCCAAACUCCUACGGGAGGCAGCAGUGGGGAAUAUUGGACAAUGGGCGCAAGCCUGAUCCAGCCAUGCCGCGUGAGUGAUGAAGGCCUUAGGGUUGUAAAGCUCUUUCACCGGAGAAGAUAAUGACGGUAUCCAGAGAAGAAGCCCCGGCUAACUUCGUGCCAGCAGCCGCGGUAAUACGAAGGGGGCUAGCGUUGUUCGGAAUUACUGGGCGUAAAGCGCACGUAGGCGGAUAUUUAAGUCAGGGGUGAAAUCCCAGAGCUCAACUCUGGAACUGCCUUUGAUACUGGGUAUCUUGAGUAUGGAAGAGGUAAGUGGAAUUCCGAGUGUAGAGGUGAAAUUCGUAGA